UACGGAGGGUGCGAGCGUUGUCCGGAAUCACUGGGCGUAAAGGGCGCGUAGGCGGCUUCUCAAGCGUGUGGUGAAAGUCCGGGGCUCAACCCCGGAUCGGCCGUGCGGACUGGGGAGCUCGAGUUCUGUAGAGGCGGGUGGAAUUCCACGUGUAGCGGUGAAAUGCGUAGAGAUGUGGAGGAACACCUGUGGCGAAGGCGCCUUGCUGGCCGAUUUCUGACGCUGAGGCGCGAAAGCGUGGGGAGCAAACAGG
rnacentral:rRNA from 1 species